AAGUUCAAGCAUAUGAAGGACGUUUGCGGAGUUCGAACACUUCAUCAAAGAAAUGCGGGGCAAUCAUAGUGGAUACAACUCUUCUGAUGAGUAGAGGUGCAAUCAUGCGUGUUUAUGGUCAUGAGUUUGCCGAUGCAUUAACUGAGAGUUGUGCUUAUACGUGGAGUUUUUGAUAUAUUUCGCAUCAGACAAAUAUGACAUGUUUUUGAUGUGGCGAAUUCGUAGUAAACAAAAUGGAUGGAUAGUUAUUUUGGACUUGUAAUGUGUUGAUGUUGACACGUGGUUGUCAUUAAAUAGAUUAAUUACUGCCUUUUUUUGUUGUUA